GUGUUGUUUUGGUUUGUUUAAUUAUCUUUUGUACUUAUCGGCUUGCUGGAAAAUCUUUCACAAGCCAAAAACUAGCAGGAAGGAGAACUUUGGAAGUUUCAUUAACAGCAGGGGAAAUACUCAAACCGUACCUUGUUCAUUCCUUCAUGUGGCAGAUGGGAAAUCCUUGUCUAUUUCACUGUGCGGCAAAAAUAAUGUGGGAAAAAAAAGUCUGCUUUGCAUGUGAGUUACAGAGGCAAGAUCACAGCUGUCAGGAACAUAAAAGUGGCCCUGUGUGUGCUGUAAUGCUGGAAGGGUGGGCGGCUGGAAAGGUGAACUGGACGGCUGGAAAGGGAAACUGAGUCAUGGGAUGUGGCCAAGGGCCCAAGAUAAGAGCUCAGCCAGCCAAAUCCCACUCCAAGUGACUCCUCUCCCCUACAGAGCAAGAAGAGCUUCUUCAGCUGAAUGUGCAAAGAGAAAGAAGAGCAGGAGAUGAUGAAGUCUAAGGAAGAACCAAGAGGUUUUUACCCCUUCCUCAUAACCAACCACAGUCAUGGAAGCACUUCAUCUUGUUCUCCGAGUUCUUGGACAUGAACCUCUAACUAAGCAUACCAGAACUCCCCCUACUGAGGAGCCAUCACAACCACAACUAAAUACUUGGGGAAUUUCUUUGGCAAAAGACUUUCCUGUUGGAAAGUGCUGAUUUGUUGAAAACAAAGCUUUCUGUGGAAAACUGUCAUCUUCAACAAAAUAUUAGCUGGAAGAUGUUCCUCUGUUCACAGUGCAAUUGCUUGGCAAGACCAGGCAGAUCCAGCGUCCCUUCUGGGGUCCUUCUGCACCAGCCACGCACAGCAUGGACAGACAGACAGACAACCCAGAAAGAGAAGCCUCUUUGGUGCAGAAGGCCAGAUUUAGAAGUGUUUGAACCUGGCCCUCCCACUGGGCUACUGCUACAAUAGAAGGAAUUGGUUCCUGUCACAGUCUCUUUCUCCAAAAGAUGACUUCCUUAUUAACCCAGUUUGCCUUGUGGUAUCACAAAUAAUUGAGGUGCUGUUUCCUGCUCUGCUGGACUACCACUGAGUGCAAGAGUGCAAAAGCUGCAUCUGCAAUUGGAUGACAAAAACUUAUUCACUGCAGAGUAGCAGCAAGCAAUCCUUAGUAUUGACCCUGUGAUCUUUACCAAGUUGGAAUUCCCAAGGAAUUUUGAUUGAGGUGUGCAGAAUUCACCUUUAAUGCUCAUACAUGAACAGAAACAUACGUGAACAGAAACACAUGAGUAGGGACUCUCAUAGUCCCGAGAAAGGUAAAAUGUAACAUGAUAUGCUAAUGCAAGGAUAUCAGAAAUUAAAGUCCUUCUACAAAGAGCAGAAAUUAACUACUAUUUUGUUCUGUUCAUUUAUUUUCAACUAGGUAUUUCCCCAACCCUUUAUUAUUUUAGAGUAUAAUGAGAAACACGGUUCCAAGCCUAUAUGAAUGUGAUGUUUCAAAAAUAUAUUCCCCAUGUAAAUUAGAAUUAAAAUAUAAGCUUCAUUGUUUCAUUGCAACUAUUCAUUUUGUCUUCUUUUU